rnacentral:lncRNA from 1 species
AUGAAGUCAGGUGUAUAUGUUCUGGCAUGUAUGCAACCUGAGCGCGUACUGUCUGACAUGUAUGCCAUCGGUAUGUUUUGGGGAGCACCUGGGGGGCCCGAGGGCUGCACAAGCCAUCGCUGCCUUCUCCACCUGCUGACAUCUCCAGGCAGUCCUGCCCACGCCAGAAACUUCACAAACACUGUUUGUAUUGCUCUUUAUGUCAGAUUUUGCACCGGAGGCACCACAGUCUGCAGAUGGGUGCUCCACUGGGGGUCUGGCACCUUAAUUAAAAAGCAUUAUCUGGUCACAGGGGGAGGUCAGAAACGGCAGCAACUUCCCUCCUUCCCCCAUCACAACACAGUCUCCCCGAGCCCACAACUCCCAGUGUUGAGCAGGGCUGGGGUCUCCCUCCCCAGUGCUAUACUGGUGACUACUGGGCAGUUCAACAUGGCUAAGUGCUGGGUCCUGCACUUUGGCCACAACAACCCCACGCAGCGCUACAGGCUUGGGGCAGAGUGGCUGGAAAGCUGUGCCGAGGAAAAGGACCUGGGGGUGCUAACUGAUGCUUUCCUGAACAUGAGCCAGCAGUGUGCCCAGGUGGCCAAGAAGGCCAACAGCAUCCUGGCUUAUAUCAGGAGUAGUGUGGCCAGCAGGACCAGGGAGGUGAUCAUCCCCCUGUACUCUGCUUUGGUGAGGCCGCACCUCGAGUACUGUGUUCAGUUUUGGGCCCCUCACUACAAGAAGGACAUCGAGGCCCUGGAGCGUAUCCAGAGAAAGGCUACAAAGCUGGUGAAGGGCCUGGAACACAAGUCCUGUGAGGAGCGGCUGAGGAAACUGGGGGUGUUUGGUCUGGAGAAGAGGAGGCUCAGGGCAGACCUCACUGCUCUCUGCAACUGCCUGAAAGGAAGGUGUGGGGAGCUGGGGGUCGGCCUCUUCUCACAGAUAACGAGCGAUAGGACCAGAGGGAAUGGCCUCAAGUUGUGCCAGGGGAGGUUCAGGUUGGAAACGAGGAGACAUUUCUUCUCAGAAAGAGCAGUCAGGCACUGGGACGGGUUGCCCAGGGAGGUGGUGGUGUCACCGUCCCUGGGGGUGUUCAAGGAAAGGUUGGACGUGGUGCUUAGGGACAUGGUUUGUGGGUGA